rnacentral:rRNA from 1 species
UACGGAGGGUGCAAGCGUUGUCCGGAAUCACUGGGCGUAAAGGGCGCGUAGGCGGCGCGGAUAGUCGGCGGUGAAAGCCCGGAGCUCAACUCCGGGUCGGCCGUCGAUACUUCCGGGCUUGAGCACUGUAGAGGCAGAUGGAAUUCCGGGUGUAGCGGUGGAAUGCGUAGAGAUCCGGAAGAACACCGGUGGCGAAGGCGGUCUGCUGGGCAGUUGCUGACGCUGAUGCGCGACAGCGUGGGGAGCAAACAGG